rnacentral:ncRNA from 1 species
UGGAAACGGUUGCUAAUACCCCGUAGGCUGAGGAGCAAAAGGAGAAAUCCGCCCAAGGAGGGGCUCGCGUCUGAUUAGCUAGUUGGUGAGGCAAUAGCUUACCAAGGCGAUGAUCAGUAGCUGGUCCGAGAGGAUGAUCAGCCACACUGAGACUGAGACACGGCCCAGACUCCUACGGGAGGCAGCAGUGGGGAAUUUUCCGCAAUGGGCGAAAGCCUGACGGAGCAAUGCCGCGUGGAGGUGGAAGGCCUACGGGUCGUCAACUUCUUUUCUCGGAGAAGAAACAAU